rnacentral:rRNA from 1 species
GACGAACGCUGGCGGCGUGCUUAACACAUGCAAGUCGAACGGGCGGAUUUGGUAGCUUGCUAUCAUUGAAGCUAGUGGCAAACGGGUGAGUAACGCGUAGGCAACCUGCCUCUUGGAUGGGGACAACAUUCCGAAAGGGAUGCUAAUACCGAAUGAUGUAUGAUUUUCGCAUGGGAGUCAUACCAAAGGCCGAGCAAUCGGUCACCAGGAGAUGGGCCUGCGUCUGAUUAGCUAGUUGGUGGGGUAACGGCCCACCAAGGCGACGAUCAGUAGCCGGUCUGAGAGGAUGAACGGCCACAUUGGGACUGAGACACGGCCCAG